rnacentral:rRNA from 1 species
GAUGAACGCUAGCGGCAGGCCUAAUACAUGCAAGCCGAACGGCAAGUUUGAUAGCAAUAUUGGACCUAGAGUGGCGCAAGGGUGCGUAACACGUAUGCAACCUGCCCGCGACAGGAGGAUAGCUCCCCGAAAGGGGAAUUAACCCUCCAUAACACCAUGAGAAGGCAUCUGAUUAUGGUUAAACCGCAAGGGGUCGCGGAUGGGCAUGCGGUUGAUUAGCUAGUUGGCGGGGUAAAGGCCCACCAAGGCGGUGAUCAAUAGGGGUUCUGAGAGGAAGGUCCCCCACACUGGCACUGGGAUACGGGCCAGACUCCUACGGGAGGCAGCAGUAGGGAAUAUUGGACAAUGGUUGCAAGACUGAUCCAGCCAUGCCGCGUGCAGGAAGAAGGCCUUCUGGGUCGGAAACUGCUUUUUCCUGUGGAUAAAAUACCCGUGCGCGGGGAAUUGAAGGUAACAGGGGAAUAAGCCACGGCUAACUACGUG